rnacentral:lncRNA from 1 species
AACAGGAAGCUGCAACAGUGAGUACUACUACUCUUACAGUGCUUUUUUACAUAGCAGGAUAAAUGUAUGGGGUAACUGGUGCUAGAGCUUGGUAUGAACUCAUCUGCAAAGAAUUUCCUGUGUCUAUCUUGCAGAUUUCUCAGUGAUGAGCCUUCAAUCUUUGCCCAGGAGAGACCACCACAUUGUCAAGCCUCUGACAGCAUAUCAGUAAAAAGGUCUAUGAAAAUACACUCUUCUUGCCUGUUACAAAUGAUGUGUAGGUAUUAUUUUAGAGGUUUCCCUGCAGUGGUUUAUACUCUUAUAUUAAGAGCUAUUAUGAGCUAUGUCUUUGCCAUUUGAGAUAGAAUGCACUAUUCAGCAGAUGUGACAGUAACAUGGUAUCACACACACUUCACUUCUGUGUUCUUACCCACAUCUCCUGCUAGGGAAAAAAAAGACAAAAAGCUUUGUCGUGGAGCAGGAGCAAACCAAAUAGCCAAAGCUGUUUGUUAAUUUUUCUGUUGACAAUUCUGAAAGGUGAGGACACACACUGUUGAACUAGUUUUGCCAUGCAAUAUGGUUAGAACAAUGAAAAGGAACUGUGCAUUUACCUUGGGAAAGUUAAAGUAGUUUUGUCAUCUAUCUUGGACUUCUAAUUUUAACAAGACUACGCGAUCGGAGAUUUUACUCAUUAGUGUGAGUGUGGAGGUAAUUCCUUUGGCUUCACUAAAGAAAUUAGUGUGUAUGCAUAGCCACGUUCGCGUUUCUGAACAAAAAUCUUUACCCAAACAGGCACCUGUCCGCUUGGCCCCGCUGUUCCCAUUCCCCGCAGGGAAGAGCACAGUUAACGCAGCAUCUCCGAGUCCCGCCCGAGGCGCUCCGGCGCGGCGCUUGGAUGCUAUCCAGGCAGGAGCAGGGACCAUGGGCCCGGUGCGGGGACGCGGGAGCCGCCAGGGCCUGUCCCGGGCCGGCCCGGGCGGCUGCAGGGCGGCGCGGCCGAGGGCUCCGUCCCCCCCCGUGCCCCGCUCCCUCCCGCCUGCGCCGCCGCCCCGGCGGUCCCAUAAAGGGCGCGGCCCCGGCGGCGCUCGCCGCGGGGCGGCCCCGGCGCUGCCUCCGGACGGAGCUGCGCCUCCGCUGCCCGCCCCGGGCGAGCCCUUCCCCGGCACAGCGCGUCCUUUCCCCGCAGGCUCCUCCCGGAGAAAGCCGGAGUCCCCGUCGAGUCGCUGCCAUGGCCUCCGUCCCCUCCGCCGGCUGCCUCCUGGCCAGGAACCGGUACUACAGGACAAGACUGAACUUGGAACCCAGCGUUUCUUCCAGCUUCUCCUGCUGUUUGGAUGCUGUGAACAUCACAGACCAGGACAAAGCAUUGCAUGGGUUACCAGAGUUAAUUGAAAAAUAUUGGUGGAUAAAAAGCUUCUUCCACAGUGAACCCUCUGCACCAACUGUUGGCAGAAAAACACUCUCAGCAAGCAGGUGAGUCUUGGUUUUAAAAUGAUGGGGAUAACUUACUUGCUCUGCUUUCCUUUCGGUAACAGUGUUAGUAAACAAGUCAUAAUCAGCUAAAACCAUCUGGUAAGGUGCAAUUCUGUUUUGAUGAUUUAAGUAGAAUAUACAUCAAAUUUAAUGCUAUAUAACCUUUCCACAUUUUCAUUUUAACAAAUGAACUCAUAUGC